rfam:Calocera cornea HHB12733 unplaced genomic scaffold CALCOscaffold_42, whole genome shotgun sequence.
CUGUCCACUGCUGUGGGCAGAUGAAGUGCACAUGUGCGUCGACCGCACCGGCCGUGACUAUGAGCUUCUCACCGGCGAUGACCUCGGUGCUCGCGCCAACAACGAGGCUCGGGUCCACGCCCUCCAUCACAUCGGGAUUGCCAGCCUUGCCGAUACCGGUGAUCUUGCCGCCCUUGACGCCGAUGUCAGCUUUAUAGAUGCCGCUCCAGUCGAUGAUGAGCGCGUUGGUGAUCAGCAGGUCCAGCGCGAGUGCAGAGUGUCGCCCGGUCGCUUGACCCAUGCCUUCCCGG